UCCAUAGUGUAGUGGUUAGCACGUCUGCUUUACAUGCAGAAGGUCCUGGGUUCGUGACCUCCUAGGUGGA
rnacentral:tRNA from 1 species